GGAAGGGAGGUAUAUGCGGAAAGGUGCUAAUAAUGAGUAGCCCUAUGCAGACUGUCCAGCCUGAGUUUUCUUCUAAGAUCAGGAGAAGAAUGUUUACUUCCCAGCGAAGAGAUUUACAGAUGAAUUAGUCUUACUCCUUUAUGCACCUUAACUGACCCAGAGGCCAGCUAUCAUCGAGAUCCAGAGGGAGCUACACUCCUUGAAGGCUCCUGACCACCCACAGUGUUCUUCUUCAGCCUCUCAGCCUGUUGCUCAGCAGCUCACUGGAAAUAGUCAACUUCCUCUGCACAGCCCGGCAAAACAUGAAGUUGACAUGGGUCAGCUGCUGAACAGUGAAAUAAACUUCUCUCUGCUUCAUGGAACUUCUAGCUGACCUGAGACGUGAUUACAGAGGAGGACUGCCCUGUGUGGGCCACUGCUGUCAUGGAGGCUUCCAGGAAGGCUGGGGGAAGUCCACCAAAUUCCCUGGAUUUUACCAUAAGAAUCUUUCCUCUGGGCCUUCAACAACAUCAUCCUUCCUUUAAAGGCGUAGACUAUCUGCUUAAACAUCUGGUUACAGUCUCACAUGUUUCUCAGAUCUACUUUGUGUACCCUCAUUGUGAAGUUACUUAUUUUGGGAACUGAGAAUCCUAUGAAAUUGGUUAUCAAGUUUAUUAUAGAGCUAUUUCCUCUUUGCCCUUCUCUGUUUAGAAUUACAAAAGUUUACAUUUUUUUUUAUUGUUCCAUGUGUUUUGUUUACUGACAUAAUAAAGAGAUUUGCAUUGCAUCCA
rnacentral:lncRNA from 1 species